UACGAAGGGGGCUAGCGUUGCUCGGAAUCACUGGGCGUAAAGGGUGCGUAGGCGGGUCCUUAAGUCAGGGGUGAAAUCCUGGGGCUCAACUCCAGAACUGCCUUUGAUACUGAAGAUCUUGAGUUCGGGAGAGGUGAGUGGAACUGCGAGUGUAGAGGUGAAAUUCGUAGAUAUUCGCAAGAACACCAGUGGCGAAGGCGGCUCACUGGCCCGAUACUGACGCUGAGGCACGAAAGCGUGGGAAGCAAACAGG
rnacentral:rRNA from 1 species